UUUUAAUUUUAUGUCCAUAUUUCAAUUAAAAAAAAUAUAUUCUUUCAAAUACAAUAUUCCUUGACAUGGCCAUUUCUUUUUUUUUUCUUCCAGUUCAUUUUAGAUCACCAUAUUCAUACCAUUUUCUUACCAACCUCUCACAUCAGCUUUUACAGCAGCUUUCAUUAAGGUAACCGAUCUCAUGUUUCAGAGCAAUGAUGAACCUUCAGAACAAAGGUUUAAAGCCAGAGAUAGUUGGAAAAAUGCAGAUAGUGUAAAAAUAUAAAUAUAUAUCCCUCCCACAAAAAUACCAUCUCUCCGGGUCAGAAUAGAAUAGUCAUUCUUUAACAUUUAAUAUAGAAUUUAAGAAAAUAUCCCUGAACCUAUUUGUUUUUCUGAGUUCAUACCCAGCCAUUUCCCUGCAGGCUGAUUUCACACUGUUAUUCCAGUGAGUGACUGUAUUUUCAGUGAAAUUAUCUAUUUCUUUGUGCUGUAGGUUUCUUCCCAGCCCUGGAGCGUUACUGUAUUAUGAAAUAUAGUGACACAUUUUGUUUUUAUAGCGCUCUCCACAGUGAAUGUAUUGAUAGGUAAGUGUAAAGUGUCUUCUGUUUGCUAACUCCUUUUUCAGCUACUGAGGACAACCCUUGACUGGAAGCUCCCCUUGCCCAAUCACAUUGCUGUGCCAGUGUUUUCUUUGACAAAUAUAUAGUAUAAUAUCAUUGUACUAACAUUCCAGGGUCAUUGAUUUGUUACUGACCAAAAGGGGGUGGAACAGCAAGGCACAGAAAAUCCACUAUACAUUCUAACAUUUAGGCUUUAUCUUUUAUUAGGUAGUGAGUAAGAGACAUAAAAAGAAUUGAGUCUGUUUACAGCUGAAAUUUAAAAGAGACUUGUGUGAACAAAAACUUGUUCCAUAGAGCACUGUGACAAAAGAGGUCCAAGAAAACUUAAAGUGUCAUUGCAAAUUAGCUCAUGUAAGUAGUUGGAAUGACACUCUUUUUGUUUCUACCAAAACUUUUAUUUAUUCUGCAUUUAGUACUGUGCCUCCAUACAUGCCACAGGCCACAUUAUGAAAGGAUCAGCCUGUUGAUUUUGAUGGCAUCAUGACAACAUGGCAGGAUAUACAGCAGGUGCCCACAUACUGCAAGGCCGUACAUAAGAGCCUACAUUAGUAGGUCUCCCCUCCUCCUGUCUGCAUUUCCUGGGGAAAAGACUUUCGGCUCAGGCCUCCUCCCACCCCAGCCCUCCUCUGCUUGUUUUACAAAUGUUUAAUUACACUGGCUGUUACAGAAGGCUCUGGAGAUAGACAGUGGCUCAAGGAGCACAUUUGGAAAACCACUGCCCUACUUGAGGAAGAAUCUGCACACAACUGGCAAUGGCACUACAUCAUCUGCAAAAAGAAGGAAGUUUGAAACUAGGCUUUAAAGACCAAGGCUAAGACUUUUUAAAGAGAAGUUUCACCUUACUACACAAUGUUUAUGUACCCAAAUAAGUGGAAAGAUUUUCUAAAUUCUGAGUUGAUAGCACAGGCUUUGAAGGCUGGUCUGUUUACUGCCUCUUUACUGGGAGCUGCAGAGUAGGGAGCCCUUAUAGAUGUCAGCCCCCAGUUAUUUAGGUGCCUAAACUUUACUCAUACUCUUCUCUUUUUGGAAACUGGGCAAAAUAAUCCAGCUAAUAACCAGCCCU
rnacentral:lncRNA from 7 species